AGAGUCUCACCACCCUCACUGCAAACAACCCUUUCCUACCAUCUACUUUGAAUCUCCCUUCUGCCAGUUUAAACCCAUUCCCCCUGGUGCUGUCAUUACAUUACAAACUAAUCAUUUAAUGGAAGAGUACUGCAUGGUACAUCCCUUUCAUGCUGCCCUAAGGCACAUCACACUUACCUGACUGUUCUUUUUUUCCUCUUCCCCUUAGUUUUUCUAUGCCAUUUCCAGUAGCAAAUCCUCCAACGUUAUUGUUCUGCUUUUAGCACAGAUAAUGGGUAUGUACUUCGUGUCGUCGGUGCUGCUGAUCCGCAUGAGUAUGCCUCCGGAGUACCGCAUUAUCAUUACUGAAGUGCUGGGAGAGCUCCAGUUCAACUUCUAUCAUCGCUGGUUUGAUGUGAUAUUCCUGGUCAGUGCACUCUCCAGUAUCCUCUUCCUCUAUUUAGCACACAAACAAGCCCCAGAAAAGCAUAUGGCCCUCUGAGUAAAGACUGCAGUCACACACUGCUCCCUGUCCUUUCAAAUGAUGAACUCCUGUGGACUGCAAAACUUGAAGAGUCAGGACUAUUCAGUGUGUUCCAGCAGGCUUUGAACUUCUGCAAGUGUCAUUGUCAAGCUCUGUGGCUCAUUUUGUUGCGGUUCAAGCCAUAGCUUGAAGGAAAAAGGGAUGCAUGCAUUGAUUGUGAGAUGAUGAUUGACAAGGCAUAAGAGCGCUGCUUGGUACACCCAUUCCUAGGGACAUUGGAACUUGCAUCGUAGGCUGUCUGAGGUAAGACCUCCUACUGUUAGAAGGACAUCUUCACACCAAGGAAAUGUGGUUUUUCUUUUGACAAUCAACUUGUGAUUGGAAUUCAGAGAAUGGCAAUUCUGGAGUUAAAUGUUUUGAGUCUGGAAUUAAAUAAGCUUUUGUAUUACCUCA